CUAUGGUCAAGCACACACUAACAUCCAUAAACCUCAUUACAUGACUAUACUGUACUUUUACAUUACAAUUUGAUCAUGUCCAUUGCUAGCUAUUACAUAAGCAUGACUUCUUUACUCUAUCCGGACUCCCGCACUAUACUGUACCUGCAAGCCUGGGGGUAAAGGGAGAGGGGUGAGCUAAAAGCCCAGUGAGCUGAACUAUUAAAACACAUAAAUACUAUGCUCUAUGAAAUGCAUCAUAACACAAACAAUUCACAUAAGGGUUGGGUGAACUUGUCACCAAUUAGUCCAAGCUAACAUAGUGCCAGGCCGUAGCAUGGGGUCCUGGUCUUCCUGUCAUACAUACAUUACUUACCAUUAUUCCAGGGCCUCCUCUGGGCUCCUGGUCUUCGAGUCCACAAUCGUGCCAGGCCGUAGAAUGGGGUCCUGGUCUUUCAUUUCCGUGCCAGGCCGUAGAAUGGGGUCCUGGUCUUCCUGUCAUGGACUAAUUGGGUCAUCCAACAUUCACCCACAUCAACAAAAUAUGAUGCAAUGCGACAUAUUCGUGAAACUAAUGCAAUCACCCUAUUGCAUGAUCAUGAUGCAUGAAACAUGAUAAAUCAUUUAAUUUAAAAGAUUAAGUUUAGUUCCACUCACCUCUGGCUGACUCUGACAACACCGAAGCAGCUGAACUCACUGCUGGGGUCCUCGGUUCCUCGGGUC
rnacentral:lncRNA from 1 species